rnacentral:lncRNA from 1 species
UCUAAAGAACUAUUUUGUGAUUCAAAGUCCCCUUUUAGAAGAGCGAAAGAUACAUUCAACCUUCUGCGAGAUGAUUCAAAGGACAUGAAGAAGACUGUCAUUCCUUCAAAGUUUUCUCCAGGACAAAUGCACAAUUUUUCUCCAUUAAAAGAUCCUGGGAAGAUCUAUUUAUUGGCUGUAAUGCGACAGUAAUUUAUUUAUGCUUAAACUUAAUCAGAUAUAUGAGUGAAUGAUCUUUGUUACAAAAGCAAAUUGCUACUCUAAACACAAAAUAUUUCUUUAUGGUUUGAU